UAUCUAUAGGAGCUCUUUGAGUCCAGAUAUGGUCGAAGCGCUUAUAUGUACUCAAAACUGGUUGAAGCCUUCUGACAAUGAUCUAAAUGUCCUUAAUAUGACUGAAGAAUAUGAUAUUAGUGAAUCAAUUGUUUCAGAGUUUCAAGUAGCUACUGGUGGAGCAGCUGCUCCUACACAGGCUGGGCCUGUUUAAUUCUCGCCUAGCUGUGAAUUUUUGAAUAUUUUGGAGUCACUUUGUGAUUCAAUAAGACAAGCCUUUCUUUUUUGGAGUCAUUUUUUGAAACUAAGGAUGGAACCGUUUCAGUAGCUACUGCGUU